rnacentral:rRNA from 1 species
AACGUAGGAGGCGAGCGUUAUCCGGAUUCACUGGGCGUAAAGCGCAUGUAGGUGGCUCGCCAAGUCACAGGUGAAAGCCCCCGGCUUAACCGGGGGAGGUUCUGUGAGACUAGCGGGCUUGAGGGCAGGAGAGGAAGGUGGAAUUCCCGGUGUAGCGGUGGAAUGCGUAGAGAUCGGGAGGAACACCAGUGGCGAAAGCGGCCUUCUGGCCUGCGCCUGACACUGAGAUGCGAAAGCGUGGGGAGCAAACGGG